GAUGAAGAACGUAGCGAAAUGCGAUAAGUAGUGUGAAUUGCAGAAUUCAGUGAAUCAUCGAAUCUUUGAACGCACAUUGCGCCCGCCAGUAUUCUGGCGGGCAUGCCUGUCCGAGCGUCAUUUCAACCCUCGAACCCCUCCGGGGGGUCGGCGUUGGGGAUCGGCACUUACCUGCCGGCCCCGAAAUACAGUGGCGGUCUCGCCGCAGCCUCUCCUGCGCAGUAGUUUGCACACUCGCACCGGGAGCGCGGCGCGUCCACGGCCGUAAAACAACCCAAACUUCUGAAAUGUUGACCUCGGAUCAGGUAGGAAUACCCGCUGAACUUAAGCAUAUCAAUAAGCGGAGGA
rnacentral:misc_RNA from 1 species